GAUGAACGCUGGCGGCGUGCCUAAUACAUGCAAGUCGAGCGAACAGACGAGGAGCUUGCUCCUCUGACGUUAGCGGCGGACGGGUGAGUAGCACGUGGAUAACCUACCUAUAAGACUGGGAUAACUUCGGGAAACCGGAGCUAAUACCGGAUAAUAUAUUGGACCGCAUGGUUCAAUAGUGAAAGACGGUUUUGCUGUCACUUAUAGAUGGAUCCGCGCCGCAUUAGCUAGUUGGUAAGGUAACGGCUUACCAAGGCAACGAUGCGUAGCCGACCUGAGAGGGUGAUCGGCCACACUGGAACUGAGACACGGUCCAGACUCCUACGGGAGGCAGCAGUAGGGAAUCUUCCGCAAUGGGCGAAAGCCUGACGGAGCAACGCCGCGUGAGUGAUGAAGGUCUUCGGAUCGUAAAACUCUGUUAUUAGGGAAGAACAAAUGUGUAAGUAACUAUGCACGUCUUGACGGUACCUAAUCAGAAAGCCACGGCUAACUACGUG
rnacentral:rRNA from 1 species